rnacentral:lncRNA from 1 species
GGGCUCUAACGGCUGAGCGGGGGUCCUUGUCCCCGCCUUCUCCAAGGACAUCUUUCUUAAGUAGCGAGUGCAGCAGCUUUCAUUUUCUGGAAUGUUCCUGACCCCAUUGUGACUGGUGGUGGUAAAAAUUAUCUAUCAAGUCCACUUCUUAACGUGGAAAAGAACUCAGCAGAUUUUGUUAAUCACUUUAUGGAGAUUGAAACAUUAUCUUUUAAAUUUUGAUACCAGCGAUUGCAUUAUCUGAGGAAUUGACAUUUAAAGUGAAACUGAAGCCUUAUGAGGAUGGGGUGGGGGUGUUGCGUGGGUGGUGGCGCGUGCAGAGAUAACAGCAACGCUUGAUCGUAUUUGUGUAGUUCGAGAGAUCAGUCAAAGAUUGGUUACUGGAAAACUAGCGGCGCCAUUAUUUGAGAUUGGAAACAAGAGGAAACGUGAUUUUUGUUUGAGGAGGAAGUUAAGGGCUUCAGUUUGAAGGAUGGCCCCAGCUGUACCAGAAUGUCUGUGACCUUCAAGGACGAAACUGUGGACUUCACCCAGGAAGAGUGGGCCUUGUCUGACAAAGGAAGCUGUAUGGAGAUGUGAUGUUGGAGGACACCGCUCACCUGGUCUCUGUGGCUGAAUUCCUCUGGUCUUUGUUUCCUGCUGUUCGAUGGGUCUUAGGAAAUUUCUUCCAGAAGUUGAGGAGUGGAAGAUUUUUACUCCAGGAAGAUUUCUGUUCCUGACUGGUGGCACGUUGCACUGAAUCCUUGAUCCCUGCAGCCUUUCAGCCCAGGGCAGCCAUCAGCACCCAGGCGCCCUGGACCUUGCAUCCGUCAGACAGCCCCAGGUGGACCUGGACAGAGCAUGGCCGCAGCUCCAGUGCAUGGUAGUAUACCUUAGUUGCCAGUCUUCUAGUUCUUGCACGUUGGCCUCUGCCACAGCAUGGCAACUGACAGACAGGUGGUGUGGUUCUGCGACCGGCAAUGAACGCUGACCACCAAAGCGGAGAGCGUGGAACCUCAACCACUAGGCCAUCAGGACCGCCCAGGGCGGGCUUUUACCCCCUGCCUGCGCCCACCUGGCGGCCAGUCCCAGCCUAGGCUCCGC